UGGGGAAUAUUGCGCAAUGGGCGGAAGCCUGACGCAGCGACGCCGCGUGAGGGAUGACGGCCUUCGGGUUGUAAACCUCUUUCAGCAGGGACGAAUGUAGACGGUACCUGUAGAAGAAGCACCGGCCAACUACGUGCCAGCAGCCGCGGUAAUACGUAGGGUGCGAGCGUUGUCCGGAAUUAUUGGGCGUAAAGAGCUCGUAGGCGGUCUGUCGCGUCGAAUGUGAAAACCCGGGGCUCAACUCCGGGCUUGCAUUCGAUACGGGCAGGCUAGAGUUCGGUAGGGGAGUCUGGAAUUCCUGGUGUAGCGGUGAAAUGCGCAGAUAUCAGGAGGAACACCGGUGGCGAAGGCGGGACUCUGGGCCGAUACUGACGCUGAGGAGCGAAAGCGUGGGGAGCGAACAGG
rnacentral:rRNA from 2 species